UAGUUUUAUUUAUGUCUGUACUUUUGAGAGUCACAAACAGCUGGAACUAAAUUCCUUGUGUGUGUCAACACACUUGGCCAAUAAACCUGAUUCUAAUUCUGAUUCAGAUAUCCUUUUCUUCACUCCCUGUCCAGCCACACACUUUCUCUAUCUGCCACAGACACCUGUCUGCUUCCACCAUCCUCUAGGAUAGUUGGCCUGACCUGGCACCCUCUGCUCCUGGCGGAACCGAGGUCCCCCCAUAACAACAAAAGAUUAUCUUUACUCGAUAUCCUUUUCUUCACUCCCUGUCCAGCCACACACUUUCUCUAUCUGCCACGGACACCUGUCUGCUUCCACCAUCCUCUCGGAUAGUUGGCCUGACCUGGCACCCCCUGCUCCUGGCGGAACCGAGGUCCCCCCAUAACAACAAAAGAUUAUCUUUACUCGGCGACUUCAUCAGCCUCCUCUUCAAACUCGCCCUCAUCUUCAGCAGAAGCAUCCUGGUACUGCUGGUACUCGGAGAUCAGGUCAUUCAUAUUGCUCUCGGCCUCGGUGAACUCCAUCUCAUCCAUGCCCUCUCCAGUGUACCAGUGCAAGAAGGCCUUGCGUCGGAACAUGGCAGUGAAUUGCUCAGAGAUGCGCUUGAACAGCUCCUGGAUGGCUGUGCUGUUACCGAUGAAAGUGACAGACAUCUUUAGACCGCGUGGUGGGAUGUCACACACAGCUGUCUUGACAUUGUUGGGGAUCCAUUCCACAAAGUAGCUGCUGUUCUUGUUCUGAACAUUGAGGAUCUGUUCAUCCACCUCCUUCAUGGACAUGCGGCCACGGAAGACAGUGGCUGCGGUCAAGUAACGACCGUGGCGUGGAUCACAGGCAGCCAUCAUGUUUUUGGCAUCAAAGACCUGCUGUGUGAGCUCGGGCACGGUGACAGCACGAUACUGCUGGCUUCCCCUGCUGGUAAGAGGUGCAAAACCAGUAAUGAAGAAGUGCAGACGUGGGAAGGGCACCAUGUUGACAGCCAGCUUGCGCAGGUCAGCAUUGAGCUGCCCGGGGAAGCGGAGGCAUGUGGUGACACCACUCAUGGUAGAAGAGACGAGGUGGUUCAGGUCACCAUAAGUGGGAGUGGUGAGUUUCAGUGUGCGAAUGCAGAUGUCGUACAGAGCUUCGUUGUCGAUGCAGAAUGUCUCGUCUGUGUUCUCCACCAGCUGAUGAACAGAGAGUGUGGCGUUGUAGGGCUCCACCACUGUGUCAGACACUUUAGGAGAAGGCACCACACUGAAGGUGUUCAUGAUACGGUCAGGAUACUCCUCACGAAUCUUGCUGAUGAGCAGUGUGCCCAUACCAGAUCCGGUGCCACCACCCAGCGAGUGGGUGAGCUGGAAGCCCUGGAGGCAAUCGCAGCUCUCAGACUCCUUUCUCACAACAUCCAGGACAGAAUCCACCAGCUCUGCUCCCUCUGUGUAGUGGCCUUUAGCCCAGUUAUUACCAGCACCACUCUGACCUGGAACCAAAAAAAGGAUUGUACCUGUAGCCUCAUUAUAGUAGACACUGAUUCUGUCCAGCUGCAGAUCGCUAUCCCCAUGCUAUUCUUACCUUGGCACCAAUCUGGUUACCGCACUGGCCGGCCUGGAUAUGAACAAUCUCCCUCAUGAUUAACACUUGGAAUAACGUUUUUGUUUCACGGAUGUAACCGCGUAGCUUUUUUCAAAGGGUUUAUAUGCCUGGAUUAACUCCAGCGAGAUACCGGGUGCUAUGGGCAGAAUCAGAAUCAGAAUCAGAAUAAGAAUAAGAAUCAGAAUCAGAAUCAAAAAUAGCUUUAUUGCUAAGUAUGCUUAAGCAUACAAGGAAUUUGUUUUUAAUGUCAUACUCUUGUAGUACACAGACAACACACAGACAAUAAAAAUAAGUUGAGAAUAAAAACAAAUAGACAUAUGUAAAUAUAAAUAGACAAACAAAAAUUGAAAAAUUGAAAAAUAAAUUAAAAAAUAAAUCAGUUGUAUGUACUGCUAUAGAUUGAAUGGAAUAGAAUAGAAUAGAAUAGAAUAGAAUAGAAUAGAAUAGAAUAGAAUAGAAUGAGAUGCGGGGAUAUACUAGCAUGGAACUGGUAACAAAUAAAUAUAGGAUAUUGUUAUUGCAUAAUGGGGGAACAUUUUAAUGUUCAUUAGGUAGAUUGCCUUUAUAGGGCUCUGUAGCACCUUGUGAGUAGAGUCCAAGAAGUUGGCACCAGGCAACCCCCAUCUCCAUCACAGUUUCAUUUAAUUGGGGUUCAUUACAUCUAUUUGGCUUCACCAAAUUCUAUAGAUAGAAUAAACCGCCACCUUAUCGUGGUGGAGGGGUUUGCGUGCCUGAAUGAUCCUAGGAGCUAUGUUGUCUGGGGCUUUCUGCCCCUGGUAGGGUCUCCCAAGGCAAACAGGUUCUGGGUGACGGGCCAGACAAAGGCUCACAUGCGAGUGCCUGGUGGCCGGGCUCAGCCCGAAGGAGUGACUUGGGGCCGAUCUCCUGUGGGCCCACCACCUGCAGGAGGAACCGUAAGGGGCUGGUGCAAUGGGGAUUGGGUGGCAGUCGAAGGCGGGGACCUCGGCAACCCAAUCCCCGAACAAGGAAUCUGGCUCUAGGGUCAUGGAAUGUCACCUCGCUGGGGGAAGGAGCCUGAGCUGGUGCGAGAGGUUGAGAGAUACCGACUAGAGGUAGUUGGACUCCCCUUCACACACAGCUUAGGCUCUGGAACCAAACUCCUCGAGAGAGGCUGGACUCUAUUACUCUGGAGUUGCUCACGGUGAGAGGCGGCGGGCUGGUGUGGGCUUGCUCAUAACCCCCCAGCUCAGCAGCCAUGUGUUGGAGUUCACCCCGAGGAACAAAAGGGUUGUUUCCCUGCGCCUUCGGUUCAGGGAUAGGGCUCUCAGUGUUAUUUGCACUUACGGGCCAAAUGGCAAUGUAGAGUACCCGACCUUCUUGGCGUCUCUGGGAGGGGUGCUUUAAAGGGCUCCAACCGGGGACUCCGUCGUUCUACUGGGAGACUUCAACGCUCACAUGAGCAGCAACAGUGACACCUGGAGAGGCGGUGUUCUGUUAUUGGACUUCUGUGCUAGUCACAAUUUGUCCAUAACGAACACCAUGUCCAAGCAUAAGGGUGUCCAUAAGUGCACGUGGCACCAGCACACCCUAGGUCAGAGGUCGAUGAUCGACUUUGUGGUUGUUUCAUCUGACCUCCGGCCGUAUGGUCUUGGACACUCAGCUAAAGACUUGGACAGACUUGGCAGACCCAAUCGUACUGUGAGGGUCUGCUGGGAACAUUUGGCAGAGUCUCCGGUCAGAGAGAUCUUCAACUCCCAUCUCUGGCAGAGCUUCAACCAGAUCCUGAGGAAGGUUGGAGACAUUGAGUCUGAGUGGACCAUGUUCUCCACUUCCAUUCUUGACGUGGCCGAUCAGAGCUGUGGCCAUAAGGUCUCCGGUGCCUGUCAUGGUGGCAAUCCUCGAACCCGGUGGUGGACCCCAGAAGUAAGGGAUGCCGUCAAGCUAAAGAAGGAGUCCUAUCGAGCCUGGUUGGCUCGGUGGACUCCGGUGGUAGAUGAUAUGUUAAAAGACGGCCAAGCGCACUUUAGCCUGGGUGGUUGCAGAGGGAAAAACCCGGGUCUGGGAGGAGUUCGGUGAGGCCAUGGAGAAGGACUACCGGUUGGCCUUGAAGAAAUUUUGGCAAUCCGUCCGGGGCCUCAGGAGGGGAAGCAGUGCCCUGCACACACUGUUUACAGUGGGAGUGGGAAUCUGCUGACUUCGACUGGGGACAUCCUCAGAUGGUGGAAGGAGUACUUUGAGGAUCUCCUCAACCGAAACGACAUGUCUUCCACUGAGGAAGCAGAGGCCGAGGGCUCAGUUGUGGACUCGUCAAUCUCCCAAGUUGAGGUCACUGAGGUAGUUAAGAAUGAGUGGAUGAGAUCCACCCUGAGUACCUCAAGUCUCUGGAUGUUGCAGGGCUGUCUUGUUUGACACACCUCUGCAACAUCGCGUGGCAAAUGGGGACAGUGCCUCUGGACUGACAGACAGAGGUGGUGGUUCCUCUGUUUAAGAAUGGGGACCAGAGGGUGUGUUCCAAAUACAGGGGGAUCACACUCCUCAGCCUCACCGGAAAAGUCUAUGUCAGGGUAAUGGAGAGGAGAAUUUGGCCGAUAGUCAUACCUCAGAUUCAGGAGGAUCUGCAAACAGUUUCAUUAUAUAACAAUAACAUUGUUGCAAUAAUGAUGUGCAAUUAUAGAACCAGGAGUCUGCAAAGCUGGUGUCAGUAACACGGGGAUAAAAGACCCAAAUGCAGGACAGCUAAAAUAAACAGGAUUUACUAACUUAAUAAAAACAUGAAACACAGACACAGACUAGAGACAGGACAACAACGACAGGACAAAAGAGGGGAUUCCGUGCUAUUCAAGGCAACGCGGCUCAACUAAAUACUAAUAACCAUCAGACACAUAAGGAGCAGGUGUGCAGAGACGGGGAGGAAGAGACAAGGGGGGGGCAGGCACGUGACACCAAACAUAAACAAAAACACGUGGUCCGGGCUGAGUCCUAACAGCUGGUUUCUGAUAUGUAGCCCUCCCAACAAAAAUAGGCCACUUCGUACCUUUUCUGCUGUGAAUAGAGACGGAUUGAAGACACUGGCGACCUCUUCCUCCUCC